rnacentral:lncRNA from 1 species
AUUUAUUGUUUUUUGGUUUUUUUUUCAUUUUUGUUUUUUUUUAAGAUGCAUUAAAUGAGCCCUCCUUUCUGAAUUCACUGUAUAUUUCAACAUUUUGAACCAUGACCAGCUCCCAAUUUCUGAGGCUGGCACUUACUAACUUCUACAGUCCUUUUUCAUGAGAGUUGAGAAGGCCUGGCCUUGGCCUUUUGUUUCUUCAUGAGAAGGUGUAAUACUGCCUAUAAAUGUUUCUUACUGUGAAACACUCUGACUGUGAGGCUGUAGUCAGGGUUGUUUCUGGUGGUUUGAUAAUGGCUUCCAUGCUGCUUUCCAGCUUUCUCUCUCUGUGAAAGUUGAUGAAUAGUACAUCUUAAUCAGUAUUCACUUAGCCACGAUUUUACAUCUGUCUCUUCCUACCCUCUAAUAGUUCCAUUCCCCAGUAUACUGAUAAAGUGUAACAAUAUUUUCUAUCGAGUGGGCCCAGCAAACUUGACAGUUGCCUCUGCAGUGCUUGUUGUCUCACACAAGCACCUCUUCAUACCUUGAACUUCUUGGACCUUCUAAAUCUUCCCCUUGACUAGAUCAGGGUAUUUGACAAUCUCAGAGUAUUCCGAUGCCUUCGUACAAUUAGUUCAUCUUCCUACCAAUGACACUGCAGUGUCCAUUGGCUUCCCAAUUUGUGGGGAAAGCCCAAGAUUCGUCUUGUCAGCUGCAAUUCAUCUGGAAUAUGUUCAUGUUUAAAAUUCAAAGAAAAAUAAAUAGUAAGCUCCUCCCAGUCAGGGGAAUUUUUUUAGAGAUAGCAUAUGGAUUUUUUACUUUCUAAGAAAGGAUUGCCUUUGUUCUCUCCUUGUAAAAUGUGGAUGAACCAAAGCAGCUAAGAGCAAUGCCUCAAAUAACCAGAAAUGACCUUUCGUUGAUACAAAUUGUAUCUCUUUUUCUCCUGAUUGUAUAGAAACAAGUAUACAAAACUCAUCUUAAACUAUGUUUAGUACUUAAUUUUCACCAUAUUUGUGGCACUGUGUGUCACAGGAAAGUAGCCCAGGGGUGACGAGGGAGCUUUUAUUUCCAAAGGGCAGUAGUAGUUUAUAGACAAAUACAGUUUUCAAGGCCUCUUUAUUGUUAGAUGCACAACUACUGUGUGUACAAUCUGCAACAUUGUGAUUCUCUUUAGCCUAUUAAAUUUAAUAUGUCCUUGUAAAAGGGAUUUUUAUAAAGUGUCAAUAGUAAUACACCAUAUGUAAGAAUCCUUAAGGAGCUGUAUAAAUAUGAAUGCAUAAAUCCAACUUGGUUCUUACAUUAGAGAAACAUUUUUUAUAUCAAGAUCUGCAUACUUCUUGACUUUUCCAUUUUGUCUAUAAUUAUAAAAUAGCAAAUAAAGAAGAGCAUUGAGACCUCGGUAGCACCCUUCUAGGGGCUAAAUGUGUCGUCCUUCAGGAAACUUACCUCCAAGUACACAGCAGGGGUUAAGGCACAGCGUUCUGUGUGGUCUUCAAGAAGCAGCGGAUUCUGUAAGAGGUGCUUUGUCAUUUGAAUUCCUUCACUGAUUUUUCUGACCUCAUAGCAAAUCUGUGCCUGUCCAGGCCUUAGACUUUGUAUUUUCUGAUUUUUGUUUUCUUGUUGUGACCUUCUUAUUGUUGUUGUUUUCAUUCCCACCUAAAGGAGAAAUGUGACUCUGGCAGGGCAUGGUCAAUGCAGAGCACCUUUUCUAUAGGACAGCUCAAAGAAAGAGGAGCCUUUCAAAGGAACUAUUGAACUCACUUAAGGUACCGGCUAUGGAAGGGAGCAUGGCAGAUGCUGUAUGGAAAUGGUCUGUAAAACUUUUCUUCUAAUCAAUGAAGCAUAUGGCAUGAUUUUUCUCUCCCUUUCUUAUUCUCUCAAACCCUUUCUAGUUUCUAAGAGACUACUUCUUCACAAUCCUCCGCCCCCCACUUUUUUUUUAAAUCUCGGAAUAUAUGACCUUUAUAAAACAAUUCAAUCAUUAAUAUCUAUUAAUAUUUGUUACAGUUUCCCUCUAACGUGGAACAGUUCGUUGUGAAGAGGCUCUCAGUUAACAUUCUAUCUGUGCUCUUAAGUGUGCGAGUUUGUACAAGUGCCCUUUUGGAGGGCCAACAAUUCCAAUAGAGUUUGUUUUGCUCUGUAAAUCAGGUUUGGAUUUGCACAGGGAAAGUAAUGCCAAGCUGUCCAAAGAGCCCCGCUCAGGUCUCCUCCUACCCCUUUUCUUCCACCUCCUCAUAUGCUUCUCUUCAGGUACGAAACUGAGGAGUGCAUAAUGUGCAACCAAAAUGGCACUAGUGUUAGUUUUCCUUUGAAAGCAGUGUAUUUCUAGAACUCGCUUGUCUAAAGUAGUCAACGCCUCUGUGAAGACUCAGCAUAUUUGAUAUCUAUUGUAUUAUAGCUAGCUAUACACAUAGGCAGAUUGACUAUUUUUUAGUCCUGGUUUGUGUAUCAUUGAGCUAUAGUAAUUUGUUUUAUCCAUUUGUGGGAUUAAACAGUAUUGUUUAAUGGUUGUAAACUUUUUAUAAAACCACUUUGGGUUCCUUGUUUGACCCAAACAUAAUGUAAGUCUCAAUGACAAAAUACACAGAGCCAACCUGAGGUGAGUGAAAAUAUAACCCUUCCCGUUUUGUCCGCCUCUAUAAUGCAUGUGCAAUGCUUUAUACAAUAUUCUCACUCGCAUGAAUGUACUUAUGACUUCAUGAGGUUUUUAUUUGUUUCACCUAUAAUUGUGAUGAAAAUGCUGUGUUGUUGACAACAAUGAACUGUAAACCCAUUUAUUGCAUAAACUUUGUCUACUAAUCACUGAUGGCUCUUUCUUUAAGAACAUCAGCAACAAGUAAUUGUACACACAGACAUGCACAUUCCAAUUCGUUCCUGAAAUACUAAGCAUAUAUCCUUUGGAGUUACCUGGUUAAAUAAACAGUGGGGAAACAGAUCCCCAGCCCCC